rnacentral:rRNA from 1 species
GGUGAACGCUGACAGAAUGCUUAACACAUGCAAGUCAACUUGAACUUCGGUUUGGGUGGCGGACGGGUGAGUAACGCGUAAAGAACUUGCCUCACAGAUAGGGACAACAUUUGGAAACGAAUGCUAAUACCUGAUAUUAUGAUUAUAUGGCAUCGUAUAAUUAUGAAAGCUAUAUGCGCUGUGAGAGAGCUUUGCGUCCCAUUAGCUAGUUGGAGAGGUAACGGCUCACCAAGGCGAUGAUGGGUAGCCGGCCUGAGAGGGUGAUCGGCCACAAGGGGACUGAGACACGGCCCUUACUCCUACGGGAGGCAGCAGUGGGGAAUAUUGGACAAUGGACCAAGAGUCUGAUCCAGCAAUUCUGUGUGCACGAUGAAGUUUUUCGGAAUGUAAAGUGCUUUCAGUUGGGAAGAAAAAAAUGACGGUACCAACAGAAGAAGUGACGGCUAAAUACGUG